rnacentral:rRNA from 1 species
UACAGAGGGUGCAAGCGUUAAUCGGAAUUACUGGGCGUAAAGCGUGCGCAGACGGUUGCGUAAGUCAGAUGUGAAAGCCCCGGGCUCAACCUGGGAAUUGCAUUUGAGAACUGCGUAGCUAGGGUGCGGAAGAGGGAAGCGGAAUUUCCGGGUGUAGCGGUGAAAUGACGUAGAUAUCGGAAGGAACACCAGUGGCGAAAGCGGCUUCCUGGUCCAGCAC